rnacentral:rRNA from 1 species
GACGAACGCUGGCGGCGUGCUUAACACAUGCAAGUCGAACGGAAAGGCCCUGCUUGCAGGGUACUCGAGUGGCGAACGGGUGGGUAACACGUGGGUGAUCUGCCCUGCACUUCGUGAUAAGCCUGGGAAACUGGGUCUAAUACCGGAUAGGAGCCAUUUUUUGUGGGAUGGUGGGAAAGUUUUUUCGGUGUAGGAUGAGCUCGCGGCCCAUCCGCUUGGUGGUGGGGUAAUGGUCUACCAAGGCGGCGACGGGUAGCCGGCCUGAGAGGGUGGACGGCCACAUUGGGGCCGAGAUACGGCCCAGGCUCCUACGGGGGGCAGCUGGGGGGAAUAUUGCACAAUGGGCGCAAGCCUGAUGCAGCGGGGCCGCGUGGGGGAUGACGGCCUUCUGGUUGGAAACUGCUUUCGCUAGGGACGAAGCUUGUUGUGACGGUACCUAGAUAAGAAGCACCGGCUAACUACGUG